ACGCACCCUUCGGGGUGAGUGGCGCACGGCUGAGUAACACGUGGGAAUCUGUCGUCGAGUGGGGGAUAACGCACCGAAAGGUACGCUAAUCCCGCAUACGUUCCGUAAGGAAGAAAGGCGCAAGUCGCUGGACGAGGAGCCUGCGGCCCAUCAGGUAGUUGGAGGGGUAACGGCCCACCAAGCCAAUGACGGGUAGCUGGUCUGUGAGGACAACCAGCCAGACUGGGACUGAGAACGGCCCAGACUCCUACGGGAGGCAGCAGUAAGGAAUUUUCGUCAAUGGGGGAAACCCUGAACGAGCAACGCCGCGUGGAGGAUGACGGUCUUCGGAUUGUAAACUCCUUUUAUGAGGGACGAUAAUGACGGUACCUCAGGAAUAAGCCCCGGCUAACUCUGUGCCAGCAGCCGCGGUAAUACAGAGGGGGCAAGCGUUGUCCGGAAUUACUGGGCGUAAAGAGCACGUAGGCGGUCGCGCAAGUGGUGUGUGAAACCAAUCAGCUUAACUGAUUGACGCCAUGCCAAACUGCGCGACUCGAGUCAUGGAGAGGUUAUUCGAAUUGCUGGUGUAGUGGUGAAAUGCGUAGAGAUCAGCAGGAAGACCAAGGGCGAAAGCAGAUAACUGGCCAUGGACUGACGCUCAGGUGCGAAAGCGUGGGGAGCAAACUGGAUUAGAUACCCAGGUAGUCCACGCUGUAAACGAUGUAUGCUCGGUAUGUGUGCCUGUUAAGGGCAUGGGUACCUUAGGAAACCCGGUAAGCAUACCGCCUG
rnacentral:rRNA from 1 species